rnacentral:rRNA from 1 species
CCUGCGGAGGGAUCAUUACUGAGUUGAAAAACUCCAACCCGUGUGAACUUUACCACUGUUUUUGUUGCUUCGGCGGUCUAAAACCGGCCGGCCCCCCCGGGGGCUCGGUGCCGGCCCGCCGGAGGAUAAACCGAACUCUUGAAUCUUUAGUGUAUCUCUGAGCCUAAAAGAUAAUAAUCAAAACUUUCAACAACGGAUCUCUUGGUUCUGGCAUCGAUGAAGAACGCAGCGAAAUGCGAUAAGUAAUGUGAAUUGCAGAAUUCAGUGAAUCAUCGAAUCUUUGAACGCACAUUGCGCCCGCCGGUAUUCCGGCGGGCAUGCCUGUCCGAGCGUCAUUUCAACCCUCAAGCCCAGGCUUGGUGUUGGGGCGCCCGGGGUGAGCCCAAACCGGCUCCCCCGGGGCCCCCAAGUCCAUCGGCGGGCUCGUCGGAACUCUGAGCGCAGUAACUCGCGGUAAAACGCGCUUCGUUUCGGCCAGUUCAGGCGGGCACCGGCCGCUAAACCCCCAAAUUUUCCAUAAGGUUGACCUCGGAUCAGGUAGGAAUACCCGCUGAACUUAAGCAUAUCAAUAAGCGGAGGA